rnacentral:sRNA from 1 species
UCUCUGAUCUGAUACAUUAACAUAUUGC